rnacentral:lncRNA from 1 species
AUCGUCGCGAGUUGACGCGAGCCGUCACAGCCUGCUGGUGCUCAGCGGGUGCUUUGUGCUGCCUGCCUGGUGGCCCAUGGUGCCGAUCCCGAUCUAUCGUCGGAGCCGAUCGAACCGAGGUCGGCACGCACUGAUUGGGCUGCGGGUUGGUCGAUGGUGGCUGAUGGACAGCAACCGCCGCAUCUGAGGCCCUGUUACUCGUCUAAAAAAAAUUUUUAUCCAUCUCAUCGAAUCUUUAAACAUAUACAUGGAACAUCAAAUAUAGAUAAAAAAAAUAAACUAAUUACACAGUUUGGUUGAAAAUCGUGAGACAAAUCUUUUAAGCCUAGUUACUACAUGAUUAGCCGUAAGUGCUACAGUAACCCACAUGUGCUAAUGAUAGAUUAAUUACGCUUAAUAGAUUUGUCUUGCAGUUUCCUGAGGAGCUAUGUAAUUUAUUUUUUAUUAAUUUUUAAAAAAAAAUUUCAGACAUUCUUCUGACACAUCCGAUGUGACACAAAAAUUUUCAUCCUCGGUACCGUCAGCUACAGCUACCCGCGCGGACGCGGUGGCGGAGGCGGAAGCGACUAGGCGAAGCAGGAAUCAUCACUCGAUCGCUAGGUACAGUAUAGUAUAGUAUAUCAGCUUCUUCUGAUCUCUCAGCUGCAGCUAGCACUAGCAGUGGACGCUUCCAAAGCAUGCAGCCGCGCCAAAAGCAAAGCUACGACUGGCCCCGUCUCGUCUGGCCGGCGGCCGCAAAAGCCACCGACGGCGACGGCUACCGGGGCCAAAAGGCACAGGCUACGCCUACGCGUAAUCGCGUAUACAGAUGGAUACACACCUCUUCGUCUUGGUGCCGUAUGUGUACGAGCGCGCGCACGUACUACUGACGUGCUACGGGAAGGGAAGAGAGCGGCCUGGCUGGCUCAGCCGGCGGGCCGGGGACCACGCCACGGCUCUCGGCCUCGGGUCCU